UAAGUUAGGUGGAAUCACAAGUCUGGAGCCCAGAGGAGAGGUCUUGACUAAAGAUAUCAAAUUGCAAGUCAUAAGCAAAAGAUUUUGAAACGUGUAGAUAGAUAUCAUCUGGGGAGAGAGGCAAGAUCCAAGGCUGAUCCUCGAGGUCAGACAGAGGAGGAGAAACCAGGAAAAGAGACUGAGAAGAAGCAUCUGGUGUGAUAACAGGGAAACCUUGAGAGAAUACAAGGCAAAAGAAGGUCUACUCCCAAGCACUGAGUGAAGACCCAUGGAAAAGACAUGUAUACUGUCCUGUGGAGCCUUUGGUCCUCCAAGCAAAUGCUGGGAAUACUUGAACCCCAUCUAUCAGGUUAGUAGGAAUGCAGAAUGAAGCCUAGAUUGGAUCAGGUAAGCGUUGUUGCCUCCCUUUCUAAUGAGAAGCCAGAGUACAAUUAAUGAAAGCUAUGUAAAUGCGCUCCAGGCUGUUAAGAUUACAAAGAGAGUUCAGGGCUGGGGAUAAAGAAUCAGAAUAGGAUCCACAAUCAAUUACAGAGAAGGUCCUCCUAUCUCAGACAGGCACACACAUUUUGAUAUCAUCAGGGAACCAAUUGCAUCCGGGCGCCUUUUGGAAGAAAAAUGUAGGAACAUGCUCCCUCCUAUUUAGGGAAUGAUACGAGGGGGCUAUUUUUGAAUGAUUAAUUAAAGGGAAUCAAUCUUCAUUGCAUUGCUACUGAUGUGAAAAGCGCCAGGCCUGAGCAAUAAUCGCGUGCAAUUAUUCAACUACCCCUUUGGCAAGGACGACGUCAUUAGUCCUGGUGGUGUCGAGAGAUUCUCUUUAUUCCCAACAAAUUGGCAGUUUUAAUCAAGUGUUGCUGGAAAUUUAUCAUAACACAGGGAAAACAAUAGGUGAAGUUACAGGGCCCCAAGCUGUGUGACUCCUAUCUACAAUGGUACAAAUUUACAAUGCUAACAACAUGAUAAAUACUACCAAUCCGUGAAUGCGUUGAUUAUAAUUUCAUAUCAGCACCAAGCCUUGGCAGUUCUUAUUUGUUUAGAAACAUGGCUGUAACGCUUUUUGUGCUGCCUUGAGUUUGUUUGCGGAGGAAGCUGAGGUUAGCCCUGGGUGCUGGUGGCCUGGAACUUGGAAGGUCUAAAUGCACAGGGAACAGGGGACGUUUCCAGAAAUGCUCACCUACUCCAGCUGCAGGAGUCUGGGAGCAGCUGAUAGCAGAACAGAUAAGGCACAAAGCACACUUACUACGGCUUAUUUUGUGUUUUACUCAGAAGAGUCUUCUGCAGGGGUGAUUUUCCAGAUAUCCAAGGACAGGCCUUUUCUCCACUCUCUUUUUGCUUUUUUCAGGUAUUUUUGUGCCUCUGAAAAUCUUUGCUUCAAAAUAAUAGCUGAGGGCUUCCCUGGUGGCACAGUGGU